CUGGACAACAAUAAGAUGGAGUUGCAAAAUUGGAUAGCCUCCUACUAAAGUAAGUGGGAUGCAUAUGAAUUGAUUGUGAUAUGUGAUAGUUGGACAAGUCCCAACAAACAAAAAAUUAUCAACUUUCUAACCUAUUGUGAUAUGAAGAUUUUCUUCGACAAGUUGAUUGAUACUUCCGAUUAGGUGCCUAAUGCUUAGUACAUCUCCAAAUUGAUGGAGAUGAUCGAUCAAGUAUGAGAGCAAAAUAUAGUGCAAGUAGUCACUGAUAAUAGGCUACAAUACAAGGCUGCUGGAGAGAUCUUGAUGAACAAGAAGCUACAUAUAUUAUGAACCCCAUGUGCUACAUAUUACAUUGAUCUUAUGUUGAUGGACAUCAAGAAGAUUCAUAAAGUCAAGUCAUAGAGUGUUCCAUAUCCAUCACAUGGUUCAUAUAUAACCAUAUAUGGGUGCUUGCUUUGACGAGGAAAUAUCUGAGGACAUCUUGAGACUAAUAGUUACACAGUCUAUCAUAAACUAUAUUGUACUUGAUAGCCUCCUUAAGAAAAAAGCAAGUUUGAGUCAGAUUUCGUCAAUACUCAAUACUAGGGCAAGAGAGAAGGUAUGCUCAGGUCAACACUAUGAUAAGUCAUGUAAAGGGCCUAGUG
rnacentral:lncRNA from 1 species